CCUACGGGCGGCAGCAGUGGGGAAUAUUGGGCAAUGGGCGCAAGCCUGACCCAGCAACGCCGCGUGAAGGAAGAAGGCUUUCGGGUUGUAAACUUCUUUUUAGGGGGAAGAGCAGAAGACGGUACCCCUUGAAUAAGCCACGGCUAACUACGUGCCAGCAGCCGCGGUAAUACGUAGGUGGCACGCGUUGUCCGGAUUUACUGGGUGUAAAGGGCGUGAAGCCGGAGAGACAAGUCCGAUGGGAAAUCCACGGGCUCAACCCGUGAACUGCCUUUGAAACUGUUUCCCUUGAGUGUCGGAGAGGUAAUCGGAAUGCCUGGUGUAGCGGUGAAAUGCGUAGAUAUAAGGAAGAACACCAGUGGCGAAGGCGGAUUACUGGACGAUAACUGACGGUGAGGCGCGAAAGCGUGGGGAGCAAACAGGAUUAGAUACCCUAGUAGUC
rnacentral:rRNA from 1 species